CGUCAACCACGAUUCCGCUGUUUGCACACAGGCAUCGGUUGAGUGCGCUUCCUCAUUGAACAACAACUUUACCAUUUAUUCUGAUGUGCGGUUGGAGUGGCACGAUAGGAGCCCGUCCACAUGCUGCCUGAGACCGUGAAGAUGACAGAUCCCUCCUCUUCGCGCUCGUCAGUUCACUGUGCGACAGUGUGUUAAAUGACUUUCACAGACGCGUCCUGAAGAAGAAGUGCUCAGGCAGGGCGACGGGGGCAUAAAGUUAGUGGUGUAGGGCUACUGUAGUAGGCUGGACAUAUUCGAGUUUGGCCAUAAUUUCAAACUAAAUAGGAUUUCAUGGUCGUUUGUAUUUCAUGUGUCAAGCCAAUCAAUUUCAGCCAAUCUAUUUACAUCCACGUAAAUAUUGCCCUUUCGACUAAUGGACUUACUGUCAAGCCAAACCAUCCCUUUUUAUUGCCUAACAAACUAUUUUAUUCUAUUUAUUCUAUUGAUGCCAUGCAGUGUCAUUCUAUUAUACAAUCUAUUCUAUUUUUUAUGUUCUAUUUUUAUUUUGUUCUAUUCAGGGGGUGGGCUGUGUAAGUAGAGAAGAGGCUCGGGGAGGUUUAUGGCUGGGCAGCCAUAAAUAAUCAUGACAGAAGCGAUGAGUGGAGGAUCAUGAGUCUUUCAAUUAUUCACACCAUUUCAUAAUUGGCAAAAUCACUGCCUGAACACCUGUGUGAGUUUACGAUCUAAAAUCUGCAUAUUCUAAUGAGGCCAACCUGUCAGGGUCUCACUGAUUAGUAAAGACAAUGGAACAAGAAAACAAUGGGGAUACUUAGGAAAAACAUUAUCACUGGUUUCUUGUACAACAAUGAUCAGAAUAUUCAACUUCAAUCUUUAAAACCAAGAGAGAGAGAGAGA